rnacentral:rRNA from 1 species
AUACGGAGGGUGCAAGCGUUAAUCGGAAUUACUGGGCGUAAAGCGCGCGUAGGCGGUUUUGUAAGUCGGAUGUGAAAGCCCAGGGCUCAACCUUGGAAUUGCAUUCGAAACUGCAUGACUAGAGUAUGGUAGAGGGAAGUGGAAUUCCAGGUGUAGCGGUGGAAUGCGUAGAUAUCUGGAGGAACAUCAGUGGCGAAGGCGACUUCCUGGACCAAUACUGACGCUGAGGUGCGAAAGCGUGGGGAGCAAACAGGAUUAGAUACCCCAGUAGUCC